GCGGAAGCUGCGGCUGGAUCACCUCCUUUCUAGGGAAUCCGGAGCCAUUACUCCGGAGGCUCCUGGCCCGUUGAUGGCCGGCACCAUUGGUCGUCCGGAUACCAGGUCGCCUAGAAGUACGUCGACCUCGACGUGGAUCGCUGUUGAGUUUUGAGAGACCGCUGCUAGGCGGUCUAAGCGCACCUUGAAAACUCCAUAGCGGCAACACACGUGUUCUUUUCGAUCAAGAGAACAAGGGCACAC
rnacentral:misc_RNA from 1 species